GGCCGCGUGGCGGAAUAGGUAGACGCAACGGACUUAAAAUCCGUUAUCGAUAUCGGUGUGUGGGUUCGAGUCCCUCCGCGGCCACCA
rnacentral:tRNA from 1 species